rnacentral:snRNA from 1 species
AAAUCGCUUGAACCCGGGAGGCGGAGCUUGCUGUGAGCCGAGAUUGCACCACUGCACCCCCGCCUGGGCAACAGAG